rnacentral:tRNA from 2 species
GGACGCAUAGCUCAACAGGCGAGCGCUUGCUUCACACGAAAGAGGUCUUGGGUUCGAGUCCCGAUGUGUCCA